rnacentral:rRNA from 1 species
UACGUAGGGGGCAAGCGUUGUCCGGAUUUAUUGGGCGUAAAGAGCGUGUAGGCGGCUUGGUAGGUCCGCUGUGAAAACUCGAGGCCCAACCUCGAGAUGUCGGCGGAAACCACUUGGCUAGAGUCCGGAAGAGGAGAGUGGAAUUCCUGGUGUAGCGGUGAAAUGCGCAGAUAUCAGGAAGAACACCUAUGGCGAAGGCAGCUCUCUGGGACGGUACUGACGCUGAGACGCGAAAGCGUGGGGAGCGAACAGG